GACGAACGCUAGCGGCGUGCUUUAGGCAUGCAAGUGGAACGAUCCAUCUUCGGAUGGAGAGUCGCGAACGGCUGAGUAACACGUAGGAAUCUACCCCUUGGUGGAGAAUACCUCACCGAAAGGUGAGUUAAUACUGCAUAAGAUUUUUAAUGAAAGGGCGUAACUGCCCGCCGAGGGAGGAGCCUGCGGCCCAUCAGCUUGUUGGUAGGGUAAUGGCCUACCAAGGCUAUGACGGGUAGGGGGCGUGAGAGCGUGUUCCCCCAGAAAGGCACUGAGACACGGGCCUUACACCUACGGGUGGCAGCAACCGGGAAUUGUGCGCAAUGGACGAAAGUCUGACGCCGCGACGCCGCGUGAGGGAUGAAGGCCCUUGGGUUGUAAACCUCUUUUGCCAAGUGGGAGACUACUUGGAGAAUAAGCACCGGCUAACUACGUGCCAGCAGCAGCGGUAAUACGUAGGGUGCAAGCGUUGUCCGGAUUUACUGGGCGUAAAGCGUCUCGUAGGCGUCUUGAAAAGUCGUGUUUCAAAUCCCAAGGCUCAACCUUGGAAAGGGGCACGAUACUCUCAGGAUUGAAAGGUUUUGGGGCUACUGGAACUGUCGGUGUAGGGGUGAAAUCCGUUGAUAUCGAUAGGAACUCCAAGGGCGAAGGCAGGUAGCUAGGAACACUUUGACGCUGAUGAACGAAAGCUAGGGGAGCAAAAGGGAUUAGAGAUCCCCGUAGUCCUAGCCGUAAACGAUGCUCGCUAGGGAUGUGUCCUUUUAGGAUGCGUCUCGUAAGCUAACGCGUUAAGCGAGCCGCCUGGGGAGUACGAUCGCAAGAUUAAAACUCAAAGGAAUUGACGGGGACCUGCACAACCAGUGGAGCAUGUGGUUUAAUUCGAGACAAACCGAAGAACCUUACCUGGACUUGACAUUCUGGUGACAGUUCUAGAGAUAGAAUCUGUUCAAUUUAUUGGACCACCAGGACAGGUGUUGCAUGGCUGUCGUCAGCUCGUGCCGUAGGGUGUUCCCUUCAGUGGGGUAACGAGCGCAACCCCUGUUAUAUGUUACAUAUCAUAUAAGACUAUCCGCCUCAGUGGCGGGAGGAAGCGGGGACGACGUCAAGUCAGCAUGACCCUUAUGUCCAGGGCGACACACAUACUACAAUGGAGCCGACAAUGGGUUGCCAAGCGGUAACGCGGAGCUAAUCCCAUCAAACGGCUUCUCAGUGGGGAUUGAGGGCUGCAACUCGCCCUCAUGAACGAGGAAUUGGUAGUAAUCGCGGAUCAGCCAAGCCGCGGUGAAUACGUUCUCAGGUCUUGUACACACCGCCCGUCAAGUCAACGAAGUUGGGGGUACCCGAAUGCCGUCUGUGACGGCAGAAGGUAAAUCCAGCGACGGGG
rnacentral:rRNA from 1 species